ensembl:lncRNA
AUGAUGAUCGUUAAGAAAGCGUCACGUGGGAAGAACACCGGGCGCAACGUGACGCCAGUGAGAGCUGCGGCGUGCUACAAUUUUCAAAGGCUUGGGGCGAAACACAGCCGAAGCGCUCAACGAGGUCGCCAGCUUUCUGAGCUUAAAGCCUAUGGAUGCGACAAAGACAGAAAAGAUCUCCACCAAAUACGUUCCAGAGCUAUAAAGGCAGGUGGAAGAUGUCUGAAUGGCCAGUCGUUGAUUUCCGGAUGCUGGAGAGGUCAUGCUGAGCAGGGCACGUCGACUGCCAGUGCCUCCAAGGACUUCAGCCAGGACUCCAGAAGUAUAACGAUGCCCUCUGGUGUCUCCAGCUUCUUGUUGGAUUGUUUGGACGUUGAUUCUCCAACUUCAAACACGGACACGACGCUUUCAUCCAUCGAGGAGUUUCGCAGAGCUGACAAUUAUGAUGAGGGGACGGCGUCGCUCGGUGAAGAUGUGAUGGUGAACACCGUGAAGAACUCAACUCUUCUGGAUCACAGCCGUGCGCAGGAUCUAGCGCUGCAGCAGCCUCCAAACCUCUCCUCCAUUCUUGAACUAUCAUUAAACCCUGCUGAAGAGAAAUCGUUUUCUUUGUCUCCUAUUUGCCUCUCUCCUGUACGUGUGCCCUCUGAAACCUUGGCAUCAGAUAUUGCAUCAGGUUGUGUGUUAAAUUCGGCUAAUGAGAGAACUCCUGUGAAUACUAGGGUUGUAGUUCUUUCCCCUGUUGCGAAAAAGUGUUUUGCAGAAAAGGAAAAACCAAUAAAAUGCAGAAAAGUGACGUUCAGCGAUAUUGUGAGCAUCCGAAAUGUAUCAAGCCAUAGUAAACGUGGUAAAACAGACCAGCAGGACUCUGGAGCAAAGCCGGUUCAAGCGAGCGGAAGCGUGUUGGUGGAAUCCAGAGACACUUCCUCAUGGCCCGUCACAUUUUUUGACUUUGCAAAUGAGCGUGAGAGAGAGGCCUUUUUCCAGAGACUGAAACAAACACGCUCAUUUAAGUUUUCUGCCAAACCGAUAACCUCUGUCUGAGAGGACUUCAGUCCAAACAAGCUGAUCUAUAAUAUAUCCUUUUCUCACAAGCUAAGAAGCCCAGAUUACAGGAUCAUCACAUCUGACCAGCAGAGGGCGGGCAGCACGUGCUUAGAGUACAUUACUACAAAUAUCUGUAUGUGAAUUUAAUGGCCAUACAGUGUUUUUAGACCUCAAGAUGGAUGAAUACUUACACAUUGGAGUGAGACUGUUCAAACAAUCACAAGAGCUGAAUAAUAUACACCUCUUGGAAUAAACCUGCAAUGAAUUUAACUGAUGGAGGCA